CUGGCGUCCGCAAGAGCUCCUCUCCGGAUCCGGUCUGGGUGGCGCGGACCAGGCCUGGGACGGCAGCGGCGGUGCCGUCCGUGGUGGCUGUGGCGCGAGGCAGUAUGACUUGAGGCCGUGACCAUGGAUUUUUCCCGGCUUCACAUGUACACCCCUCCUCAGUGCGUGCCCGAGAACACUGGCUAUACCUAUGCACUCAGCGCGGACGCCGAGAGCAGAGUCUGUCGAGGAGGGUCCCGUGCUGCCGGAAGGCCACGCCAGCGACGGGACUGGCCCAUCGCCGCUGAAUCCAGCACCGUGGGAGUCUGUGCACAGAGGCAGCCUGAAUGCGGCAGUGGGGGCAGGAGUUGGAAUGAAAUGCGUCGAGGAGUGAGUGUGGACAACUUUUUCAACCAGUGGGCCUGGUCAGGGGAGGAGAAAGGACCCGGCUCUCUUCACAUUUUGUUCCCCUCCCCCCCCGCACCAUGGGGACAGAUGAGAGUGUGUCUAGAUGCUGAUGGUUGGGAGCCACAGAGAGGUUGAAGGGGAGGGAAGAGGCACUAGA